rnacentral:rRNA from 1 species
UACGGGGGGGGCAAGCGUUGUUCGGAAUUACUGGGCGUAAAGGGCUCGUAGGCGGCCAACUAAGUCAGACGUGAAAUCCCUCGGCUUAACCGGGGAACUGCCUUUGAUACUGAAGAUCUUGAGUUCGGGAGAGGUGAGUGGAACUGCGAGUGUAGAGGUGAAAUUCGUAGAUAUUCGCAAGAACACCAGUGGCGAAGGCGGCUCACUGGCCCGGUACUGACGCUGAGGUGCGAAAGCGUGGGGAGCAAACAGG